rnacentral:rRNA from 1 species
CGAACGCUGGCGGCGUGCUUAACACAUGCAAGUCGACCGGAAAGGCCCUGCUUUUGUGGGGUGCUCGAGUGGCGAACGGGUGAGUAACACGUGAGUAACCUGCCCUUGACUUUGGGAUAACUUCAGGAAACUGGGGCUAAUACCGGAUAGGAGCUCCUGCUGCAUGGUGGGGGUUGGAAAGUUUCGGCGGUUGGGGAUGGACUCGCGGCUUAUCAGCUUGUUGGUGGGGUAGUGGCUUACCAAGGCUUUGACGGGUAGCCGGCCUGAGAGGGUGACCGGCCACAUUGGGACUGAGAUACGGCCCAGACUCCUACGGGAGGCAGCAGUGGGGAAUAUUGCACAAUGGGCGGAAGCCCGAUGCAGCAACGCCGCGUGCGGGAUGACGGCCUUCGGGUUGUAAACCGCUUUCGCCUGUGACGAAGCGUGAGUGACGGUAAUGGGUAAAGAAGCACCGGCUAACUACGUG